AUUGAACGCUGGCGGCAGGCCUAACACAUGCAAGUCGAACGAGUGGCGGACGGGUGAGUAAUGUUUGGGAAACUGCCUGAUGGAGGGGGAUAACUCCUGGAAACGGUAGCUAAUACCGCAUACCAUCAGAUGUGCCCAGAUGGGAUUAGCUCGUUGGUGGGGUAACGGCUCACCAAGGCCACGAUCCCUAGCUGGUCUGAGAGGAUGCCCAGCCACACUGGAACUGAGACACGGUCCAGACUCCUACGGGAGGCAGCAGUGGAGAAUAUGGCACAGUGGGGGCAAGCCUGAUGCAGCCAUGCCGCGUGUAUGAAGAAGGCCUUCGGGUUGUAAGGUACUUUCAGCGGGGAGGCGUUACCCGCAGAAGAAGCACCGGCUAACUCCGUGCCAGCAGCCGCGGUAAUUC
rnacentral:rRNA from 1 species